UCAAAUCCAUGAUAUUUGUAUCCUUCGUGAUUGUUUUGUCAGCAUAAUUAUAAUCAUAUACAUGCAUAUUCAUGCAUAAAAUACAACAUCAGAUAUUUUCAUUAUGCAUUUCAUUGAGUUUUGAUUCCUUACUCUGAUCCUCUGCUCCGGUGACAUUAUUUCCCUAUGCAGAUUUGGUGUGUCUAUCCUCCUUCAAAUGUAGAGUGUCAUCCUCUUAAGCAUAAAGAGUUUAACCUUUC
rnacentral:lncRNA from 1 species